GCACAAGUCCUCUCUCUCUUUUCCUGCCGCCAUCCACCUAAGAUGUGACUUGCUCCUUGCCUUCCACCAUGAUUGUGAGGCCUCCCCAGCCAUGUGGAAAUCAUGUUCCAGAAGGCCAGGGCGGUCGGUUCUGCUGCACAAAUGAGGUCAGAGCAAUCAAGAGAGCCAAGGAAGUCCUACUUAUCUGGAUUAAAUAACUCAAUCUACAAACUACUCAACUUUAAUAUAAGGUGGAAAAUAGGAUUUCAAAAGAAAAGAAGAAGGAGAAGAACAAGGACAAGAAACUGAGUUUUGGCAGAAGGACUCCAUAGGAUCGGGAUCUGUGUCCUGCAGGAGAAACAAGAAGCUCUUAAAUGGCUGCAGAUGGUUUUCUCAGCCUAAGUUCCCAGUCUACUGGGAACUUAGUGGGUAGAGGGUGCCUGGCCAUAGAGAGGCAGAGUCGUCAAAUGUAUGCAGCCCUGGUAAGAUGACUUUGGCAUUGCUUGGACUCACAUCCUACGCACACCGUAUCUGUGUGUGGUCUUGUGCAAAUUUUUAAAAAUUUCCUCAGCUUUAGGUUUGCAUCUGUAAAGUGGAG
rnacentral:lncRNA from 1 species